rnacentral:lncRNA from 10 species
CCAGGAGAUGGGCAUCCCCACACAUCAGAGCUGUCUGCCAUGGUGGUCACAGCCUUACUGGGCCCCCUGGCCAGUCCUUGUUUUUUUGUUGUGCGAGAGAAAAACAGAGUGGAACACUGGUUAGUUAGCACGGGCCCUGGAGCCGGACUGCACUUAUUUGUUGUGUGGCCUUAGAAUUCUGCCCCAACAUUAUCUGGGGAGCCCCCCCAGAUGCUCCAGGGAGACUGUGAAGACCCUCAGGCUCCCCGACGCCUCGUGUGCUCCUUCUGUCAGGGUGUUUGAACCAGAGCAACGCCAUCUUGAAUAGGGGCUGGGUAAAGUAAGGCUGAGACCUACUGGGCUGCAUUCCCAGACGAUUAAGGCAUUCUGAGUCACAGGAUGACACAGGAGGUCGGCACAAGAUACAGGCCAUAAAGACCUUGCUGAUAAAACAGGUUGCAGUAAAGAAGCCGGUCAAAACCCACCAAAACCAAGAUGGCGACGAGAGUGACCUCUGGUCGUCCCCACUGCUACGCUCCCACCAGCACCAUGACAGGUUACAGAUGCCAUGACAAUGACAGAAAGUUACCCUCUAGGAUUUAAAAGGGGGAGGCAUGAAUAACUCCACCCCUUGUUUGGCAUAUCAUCAAGUAAUAACUAUAAAAAUGGGCAACCAGGCUGGGUGCGGUGGCUCACGCCUGUAAUCCCAGCACUUUGGGAGGUCAAAGCAAGCGGAUCAACUGAGGUCAGGAGCUCGAGACCAGCCUGGCCAACAUGGUGAAACCCUGUCUCUAGUAAAAAUACAAAAAUUAGCUGGGCUUGGUGGCACACGCCUAUAGUCCCAGCUACUGGGGAGGCUGAGGCAGGAGAAUCGCUUGAACCUGGGAGGUGGAGGUUGCAGUGAGCCAAGAUCACGCCACUGCACUCCAGCCUGGGCAACAGAGCAAGACUCCAUCUCAAAAACAAAACAAAACAAAACAACAACAACAACAACAACAAAACCCAGCAGCCCUUGGGGCGGUUCUGUCUAUGGAGUAGCCAUUCUUUAUUCCUUUAGCUUCUUAAUAAACUUGCUUUCAUUUUAUGGACUCACCCCAAAUUCUUUCUUGUGCAAGAUCCAAGAACCCUCUCUAGGGGUCUGGAUCUGGACCCCUUUCCAGUAACAAUUAUCUGCAAAAGCACUUUACAGCAACAGAAAACCUGACCCAAACUGGAUAAAGCAAAAAGGGAACUUUUUGACUCAUGAAACUUGAGUCCAGCAACAAUGCCUUCAGGCAAGGCUUGAUCCAGGGCUCACAGGCUAUAAGAGAAUCUGGUUUUCCUCUCUGCAUGUCUGGCUCUGCUUCCUUCGUAGUGGAGCCGUUCCCAGGAAGGCACUCCACUUGGCUGAAGGCAGCAGCUUAGGGCUUCUAUUCGGUGUUCAUAUCUUGCUGAAAAAGACCCACUUCUUCCCGACCCCUGACCCUGCCAAUCAAGUCUUAGGAACUGGGUCUCAUUGGCCCAGAUGGGCCUGAAGGGGGCCAUUUGUCUGUUCUUGAACCAAUCAACACAAGGGGCAAGGAGGGAAGAAAAGGGGUGUGUUGAUAAGCUUCAGCCAAUCAAGGCCCAAGCUUAGAGCUAGGAGUGGGGGUCAGUCCCACCUAAACCACAAGCCUGAAGAAU